UGAACUAAGAAUGCUAGCUAAGCAAGCAAGGC
rnacentral:piRNA from 1 species